GCUAGCGGCAGGCUUACACAUGCAAGUCGAGGGGUAUAGGUUUUCGGACCUAGAGANGGCGCACGGGUGCGUAACGCGUAUGCAAUCUACCUUUCACAGAGGGAUAGCCCAGAGAAAUUUGGAUUAAUACCUCAUAGUAUUAUAGGAUGGCAUCAUUUUAUAAUUAAAGUCACAACGGUGAAAGAUGAGCAUGCGUCCCAUUAGUUAGUUGGUAAGGUAACGGCUUACCAAGACUACGAUGGGUAGGGGUCCUGAGAGGGAGAUCCCCCACACUGGUACUGAGACACGGACCAGACUCCUACGGGAGGCAGCAGUGAGGAAUAUUGGACAAUGGAGGCAACUCUGAUCCAGCCAUGCCGCGUGCAGGAUGACGGUCCNNUGGAUUGUAAACUGCUUUUAUACAGGAAGAAACACUUGCUCGUGAGCAAGCUUGACGGUACUGUAAGAAUAAGGAUCGGCUAACUCCGUGCCAGCAGCCGCGGUAAUACGGAGGAUCCAAGCGUUAUCCGGAAUCAUUGGGUUUAAA
rnacentral:rRNA from 1 species